AAUCAACGCUGGCGGCGUGCCUAACACAUGCAAGUCGCACGAGGAAGGGGAGCAAUCCCUGAGUAAAGUGGCGCACGGGUGAGUAACACGUGAAUCAUCUACCUCCGAGUGGGGAAUAACUGAGAGAAAUCUUAGCUAAUACCGCAUAACACUUACGAGUCAAAGCAGCAAUGCGCUUGGAGAGGAGUUCGCGGCCGAUUAGUUAGUUGGCGGGGUAAUGGCCCACCAAGACGAUGAUCGGUAUCCGGCCUGAGAGGGCGCACGGACACACUGGAACUGAAACACGGUCCAGACUCCUACGGGAGGCAG
rnacentral:rRNA from 1 species